rnacentral:rRNA from 1 species
UAGGGAAUCUUCCGCAAUGAACGCAAGUCUGACGGAGCAACGCCGCGUGAGUGAAGAAGGAUUUCGGUUCGUAAAACUCUGUUGUUAGAGAAGAACAGCGCAUAGAGUAACUGUUAUGCGUGUGACGGUAUCUAACCAGAAAGCCACGGCUAACUACGUGCCAGCAGCCGCGGUAAUACGUAGGUGGCAAGCGUUGUCCGGAUUUAUUGGGAGUAAAGCGAGCGCAGGCGGUCAAUUAAGUCUGAUGUGAAAGCCCCCGGCUCAACCGGGGAGGGUCAUUGGAAACUGGUUGACUUGAGUGCAGAAGAGGAGAGUGGAAUUCCAUGUGUAGCGGUGAAAUGCGUAGAUAUAUGGAGGAACACCAGUGGCGAAGGCGACUCUCGGGUCUGUAACUGACGCUGAGGCUCGAAAGCGUGGGUAGCAAACAGG